UGCCUUGAAGAUCGGAGUGCUUGCACUCUGUGAAACAAGAUACAGGCUAGCGGCGGACGGGUGAGUAACACGUGGGUAACCUGCCCAAGAGAUCGGGAUAACACCUGGAAACAGAUGCUAAUACCGGAUAACAACAGAUGAUGCCUAUCAACUGUUUAAAAGAUGGUUCUGCUAUCACUCUUGGAUGGACCUGCGGUGCAUUAGCUAGUUGGUAGGGUAACGGCCUACCAAGGCGAUGAUGCAUAGCCGAGUUGAGAGACUGAUCGGCCACAUUGGGGCUGAGACACGGCCCAAACUCCUACGGGAGGCAGCAGUAGGGAAUCUUCCACAAUGGACGCAAGUCUGAUGGAGCAACGCCGCGUGAGUGAAGAAGGGUUUCGGCUCGUAAAGCUCUGUUGUUCGGUGAAGAAGGACAGGGGUAGUAACUGACCUUUGUUUGACGGUAAU
rnacentral:rRNA from 1 species